UUUAAUGUAUUAUUUUUAGUAUUUUUAAAUUGAAUAAAUGCCAAAUAAUUUUGUUGAGUUAUCUUGAUGAUUUGUAUAAGUUUGACUUAUGUUGUUCGGCCUUGGUCAAGGUUGAUUUGACUUUGCUAGGUUAAGAUCAUUGGACUUAGGGGAUUGAUGGAAUGUACAUUCCAUCUCCCAAAAUGAAUGGAUGAUCUUAAUUUGGUAAAAGUCCUGCUUUGACCAAUUUGAG
rnacentral:lncRNA from 1 species